UACAGAGGGUGCGAACGUUGCUCGGAAUUACUGGGCGUAAAGGGUGCGUAGGCGGCGCGGUAAGUCGGGUGUGAAAUCUCGGGGCUUAACUCCGAAACUGCAUUCGAUACUGCCGUGCUUGAGGACUGCAGAGGAGACUGGAAUUUACGGUGUAGCGGUGAAAUGCGUAGAUAUUGGGAGGAACACCAGUGGCGAAGGCG
rnacentral:rRNA from 1 species